rfam:Triticum aestivum genome assembly, contig: Triticum_aestivum_CS42_TGACv1_scaffold_643607_T_5BS-0.144355_5DS-0.091905
CAAAUACUCCCUCCGUUCGGAAUUACUUGUCUCGGAAAUGGAUGUAUCUAGAACUAGUCUCGAAAAUGGAUGUAUCUAGAACUAAAAUACAUCUAGAUACAUCCAUUUUGGCGACAAGUAAUUCCGAACGGAGGGAGUAUCCC